ensembl:lncRNA
AAAUAAUGCUGAGGUGCGUCGCGCCAUUCCAUGCACUUUUGUGUCUUUCUGACCGGAUUCUCUGUUCCUGGCGUAGAGGACCAGGAGAAAGGGAAGCUGCCCGCCACGUGCUGGAUGCUGGAGCCUGCAUACGGAGCCUUUUUUGCUGUGGGACCUGGGAUUCUUGGCCUGCUGUUCACCUGAGACCUGGUGUCAUCCUGGGACCAAAUGUCCACCUGGGGCCUGAAGACUUCCCGGGGCCUGGAUAUCCACAUGGGGUCUAAUGUCUGGACAUCCACAUGAGGUCUAAUGUCUGGACAUCUAGGGUUUUGGUUUUCACUUGGGGCCUGGAUAUUCAUCUGGGGCCCGAUGUUCACCAGGGGACUGGAGUUCAUCUGGGGCCUGGUGUCCACCUCCAAUCUUAUAGCCAUAAGGGUUCUAGCUAUACCUCUGAGGCAUGUGUCUUCUUUUGAGACUGGGUGUUCAUGCACCUGCAGCCUAGUGUACACCUAGAGCCUAGUCAGUCUUCCUGGGGGUCUGGUGUCCACCUGGGGACUGGGUAGUCACUUGGAACCUUUUUUCUUCUUGGGGCCUUAGUGUCUACCUGGACCCUGAUGGUCAGCUGUAGACGGCUUUCUUCCUAGGGCCUGAUGUUCACUUUGAGAUUGGGUGUUCCCCUGAGGCCUGGGGAUCCUGCUGAAGCCUGAUGUCCACCUGGUGCCUGAUGUGUAUCUGGGGCCUGGAGUUUACUUGGGACAUGGUUGUCACUUUUGGUUUUGUUGUCAUCUGGUGCCCUGGUGUUCCUUGGGGCCAUGAUGUCUGCCUGGGGUAUAGUGUCCACCUGGGGACAAGGUAUUUACCUGGAUAUUGGUGUCCAUCUGAGGCCUAGUGUUCACUUGGGGACUGAGUGUUCACAUUGGACCUGGUGUCUUCCCGGAGCCUGUUGUUAACUUGGGACCUUGGUGUCCCCAGGAGCUUGACGUUUAUCUGGGACUUGGUAUCAAUUGGGGGCCUGAGUUCUCUUUGGGUCAUUGCUUUUACCUACGGACUGGGUAUGUACCUGGGACCUCUUCUCCAGCUGACACCUAAUAUCUACCUGGGACCCUGGGAUCUGAUGUUUACCUUGGGCCUGCCGUGUCAGAGGCCUGAUGUCUCCCUUGAGCCUGGAUGUCCACCUGGGGCAUUGGUAUAUCUUUCUCGGGCCUGGCGUCCACAUGUGGCAUUGUGUCCAAAUGUGGCCUGGGUGUGAACCUGGAGCCAGGUGUACACCUUUGGUUUUGUGUCCACCUUGGACCUGAGGGUCACCUGGGGCCUGGGUUUCAACCUCGGGCCUUAUGUUUACCUGGGGACUGGUGUCCCCUUGGGCCUGGUGUUGACCCAAUGAUGUCCACAUAGGUGCUGGGUAUUCACCUGGAGCCUCGUGUCCACCUGGGGCCUGAUGUUACCCAGCAUAGGCAUUGCUCAGAAUACACACAGAUUGGAAAGGAGGAAGGAAUGAAAACAUGGGACCUGUGUAUGCAGUAUAAGAAAAGUGAAAACAACCAUUCAUCCAUUGGUGGUUACUUGGUUACUUCCGCUUUCCAGCCAUUGUGAAUACCAUUGCUAUUAACAUGGAGAUACAGGUAUUCUGAGACUCUGCUCUUAACACUUAAGGAUAGAUUCCCAGAUGUAGAACUGCUAGAUUAUGUGUUGAUUCUAUGCUGAGUUUUUUGAGAAAUUGCCAUAUUGUUUUCCACAGUGACUGCGCUGUUUUAUAUUUCUACCUACAGGGUGCAAAUGUUCCAAAUUCUCCACAUCUUCAUCAGCACCUGUUAUUUCUUAUCUUCUAGAUUAUCCAUCAGGGGACUGAUGUCUAGAUAGAGUGUGACAGUCACCUGAGGCCUUGUAUCCUCUUGAGGUGUGUCUGUGAGCUUGGUGACUGAAGUCUGCUUAGAGUCCACUGUCUACCUGGGGACUAAUGUCCACCUGGGGCUCAAUGAAAACCUAGGAGCUGAUAUUUACCUAGGGCCUGUCCACCUGGGGCUUGAUUUCAGCUGGGGCCUGAAGUUCUCCUAGCACCUGGUGUCCACCUGAGGCCUGGGUGUCAACCUGGGACCAGAUAUCCUGCUGGAGCCUUAGUGUUCCUGGUGCCUGAGGCCCAGGUGUCCUUGGGACUGGAUGUUCACCCAGGGCCUGCAAUCCCUUUGUCAUAAAGUGCACAACUGAGGUGCUAUGUUCACCUGGGACUUGGGUGCCCAUCAAGGGCCUGAUUUUGACCUGGGACCUGGGUAUUUAUUUACCUGAGGCCUCAGUGACCACUUGGGGCCUGACAUCCACUUGGGUUUUAGUGUCCACCUGGGUCCAGAUGUCCACUGGGUUCCUAGGUAUCCUGCUGAGGCCUGGUUUGUGCUUGGGGCCAGGUUUCUAUCUGGGGUGUGGGUAUGUACCUGGUUGCUUUUGUUGACAGUGCUCCUAGGUAUUCACUUGGGGCCUGGGGCCUAUGACCUCCUUGGACAUGUUGUUUCUCUGGGCCUUGUGUCCACCUGUGCCUUGGGUGUCAGCCUGGUGCUUGAUAACCACCUGUGGGCUCCAUAGAUACCUGGAGCCUGAUGGUCCCUUGAAGCCUGGUGUUUUGGGUUCUGAUGUCAACCUGGAGUGUAGGUAUCCAUCUGGGUCCUAAAUGUCCACCUGGGGCCACAUGUCCACCUCUGGUCUGGGUGUCGUCAUGGGGCCUGAUACUCACCAGGAGCCUAGGCAUUUAUGUGGUGCAUGCCGUCCCAUGAGGAUUGAUAUUCAGAUGGGGACUGGGUAUCCACCUUGGGCCUAUGGUACUGCUUGGGCCUGAGUGUUUACCUGGAGACUGAUACCCAUCCUGUGCCUGCUGCCUACGUAGGGCCUCAUGUUUCCAUUGAGCCUGGAUGUCCACCCGAGUCUUUGGUAUCUUCAGCAGGACGGCUGUCCUUCUCUGACUUUGGGUCCAGUGGCAGCCUGUGUGUGAGCCUGAUAGUUCAUGUACACCUUGAAUCCAUGCCCACCUGAGCCUUUAUGUCCACUUGGGGCCUGAUGUCUACAUGGGGACUGGGCAUUUACCUGAGGCCUAAUGUCCAUCUGGAACCAGAUGUUCCCCUGGGGCCAGGGUAUCCUCCUGGGGCCUAAUGUUCACCAGGGGUCUAGGCAUGUAGUUGAGGCCUGUUGUCCACCUGGGGUUUCCUGUUCACUGUGGGCCCAGACAUUCACUUGGAGCUUGGAGUUCAAGUGUGGGCUGGAGUUCCACUGGGACCUAUGUGUCCACCUGGGACCUGACAUACACCAAGAUGCCUGAUGUCCAUUUGGGACCUGGUUUCUCCCUGGGGCCUGGUAUGUACCUGGGGCCUGAUAUUUACCUGUGGCCCAGUGUCCACUUGGGGCCUAUGUGCCAAACUGUGACCUGAUGUCUACCUGGGGCCUGAUGUCCAUGCAGGGACUGGAGUCCCCCUGGGAUCUGGUGUCCACCUGGGGCCUGGUGUCUACCUGGUGUGUGAUGUUUAGUGUCUGCUUAUGGACUGAUGUUUCCUGGGACCUCAGUGCCCACUAGGGCCUGAAAAGGGUGUGUCAGUUUGCACUCACCCUCUUCCUGGGGAAAAUGGGUGGGGAGUUACCCUGGCCUUGCCCCUGUUCAUCCAGGAACUUGUCCUCCCACGCAAGCAGUGAGGAAGGCGGUACCUGGGUAAGUCGCCCCUGCUUCUAUGCUCAUUGAGUGAAGAUCUCAUGCGGGUGCUGGACUUGGGGCCCCAGAGCCAUGCC